UGGUGGCCUUUUUGUUCUU
rnacentral:misc_RNA from 1 species